rnacentral:rRNA from 1 species
AUUGAACGCUGGCGGCAGGCCUAACACAUGCAAGUCGAACGAGUGGCGGACGGGUGAGUAAUGUCUGGGAAACUGCCCGCUGGAGGGGGAUAACUACUGGAAACGGUAGAUAAUACCGCAUACCAUGGGAUGUGCGCAGAUGGGUUUAGCUAGUAGGUGGGGUAACGGAUCACCUACGCGACGAUCCCUAGCUGGUGUGAGAGGAUGACAAGCCACACUGGAACUGAGACGCGGUCCAGACUCCUACGGGAGGCGGCGGUGGGGAAUGUUGCACAAUGGGCGCAAGCCUGAUGCAGCCAUGCCGAGUGUAUGAAGAGAGCCUUGGGGUUGGAAAGUACUUUCAGCGAGGAGGCGUUACUCGCAGAAGAAGCACCGGCUAACUCCGUGCCAGCAGCCGCGGUAAUAC